rnacentral:rRNA from 1 species
GAUGAACGCUGGCGGCGUGCCUAAUACAUGCAAGUCGAGCGAACAGACGAGGAGCUUGCUCCUCUGACGUUAGCGGCGGACGGGUGAGUAACACGUGGAUAACCUACCUAUAAGACUGGGAUAACUUCGGGAAACCGGAUCUAAUACCGGAUAAUAUAUUGAACCGCAUGGUUCAAUAGUGAAAGACGGUUUUGCUGUCACUUAUAGAUGGAUCCGCGCCGCAUUAGCUAGUUGGUAAGGUAACGGCUUACCAAGGCGACGAUGCGUAGCCGACCUGAGAGGGUGAUCGGCCACACUGGAACUGGGACACGGUCCAGACUCCUACGGGAGGCAGCAGUAGGGAAUCUUCCGCAAUGGGCGAAAGCCUGACGGAGCAACGCCGCGUGAGUGAUGAAGGUCUUCGGAUCGUAAAACUCUGUUAUUAGGGAAGAACAAAUGUGUAAGUAACUAUGCACGUCUUGACGGUACCUAAUCAGAAAGCCACGGCUAACUACGUG